rnacentral:rRNA from 1 species
AUUGAACGCUGGCGGCAGGCUUAACACAUGCAAGUCGAGCGGGGUGAUGGUGCUUGCACUAUCACUUAGCGGCGGACGGGUGAGUAAUGCUUAGGAAUCUGCCUAUUAGUGGGGGACAACAUCUCGAAAGGGAUGCUAAUACCGCAUACGUCCUACGGGAGAAAGCAGGGGAUCACUUGUGACCUUGCGCUAAUAGAUGAGCCUAAGUCGGAUUAGCUAGUUGGUGGGGUAAAGGCCUACCAAGGCGACGAUCUGUAGCGGGUCUGAGAGGAUGAUCCGCCACACUGGGACUGAGUCACCGCCCAGACUCCUACGGGAGGCAGCAGUGGGGAAUAUUGGACGAUGGGGGGAACCCUGAUCCAGCCAUGCCGCGUGUGUGAAGAAGGCCUUAUGGUUGUAAAGCACUUUAAGCGAGGAGGAGGCUCUUUUGGUUAAUACCCAAGAUGAGUGGACGUUACUCGCAGAAUAAGCACCGGCUAACUCUGUGCCAGCCGCCGCAGUAA